UUCUUUUCUUGGUUCAUAAACGUGAUGUUUGGGCGUCCACACAUUUGCAUGACAUAUGCUUCCCACAAACCUUGUUACCACGUCUGCACAUUACCCAUCUGACA